AUGCAGGGGAAAGGAGGACAUGAGAAUACACAAUUUGGAUUCCGUGGUGUAAGGCAAUGUACUUGGGGGAAGCGGGUUGCUGAAAUUCAGGAGCCAAAUCGGGUGAGCAGACUCUGGUUGGGAACGUUCCCCACUGCUGAGGAUGAUGCCCGUGCUUAUGACGAGGCAGCCAGAGCAAUGUAUGGCACACUGGCUCGUACCAACUUCCCUGCUCUACCAGCGGCAACUGAAGGUGUUGUACGUGGUGCUUCAGCAUCAUGCGAGCCUACUACAACAUCCACCAACCACUAG
rnacentral:rRNA from 1 species